GAAACGGUUGCUAAGACUGGAUAGGAAACAAAAAGGCAUCUUUUUGUUUUUAAAAGACCUUCUUAUGAAGGUAUGCUUAAAGAGGGGCUUGCGCCACAUUAGUUAGUUGGUAGGGUAAAAGCCUACCAAGACGAUGAUGUGUAGCUGGACUGAGAGGUUGAACAGCCACAUUGGGACUGAGACACGGCCCAAACUCCUACGGGAGGCAGCAGUAGGGAAUUUUCGGCAAUGGAGGAAACUCUGACCGAGCAACGCCGCGUGAACGAUGAAGUAUUUCGGUAUGUAAAGUUCUUUUAUUGAAGAAGAAAAAGUAGUGGAAAAACUAUAUUGACGUUAUUCAAUGAAUAAGCCCCGGCUAACUAUGUGCCAGCAGCCGCGGUAAGACAUAGGGGGCGAGCGUUAUCCGGAAUUAUUGGGCGUAAAGGGUGCGUAGGCUGUUAGAUAAGUCUAUAAUUUAAUUUCAGUGCUUAACGCUGUCUUGUUAUAGAAACUGUCUUGACUAGAGUGAGAUAGAGGCAAGCGGAAUUCCAUGUGUAGCGGUAAAAUGUGUAAAUAUAUGGAGGAACACCAGAAGCGUAGGCGGCUUGCUGGGUCUUUACUGACGCUGAGGCACGAAAGCGUGGGUAGCAAACAGGAUUAGAUACCCUGGUAGUCCACGCCGUAAACGAUGAGUACUAAGUGUCGGGGUAAAACUCGGUACUGAAGUUAACACAUUAAGUACUCCGCCUGAGUAGUACGUACGCAAGUAUGAAACUUAAAGGAAUUGACGGGACUCCGCACAAGCGGUGGAUCAUGUUGUUUAAUUCGAAGAUACACGAAAAAUCUUACCAGGUCUUGACAUACUCUGCAAAGCUAUAGAAAUAUAGUGGAGGUUAUCAGGGAUACAGGUGGUGCAUGGUUGUCGUCAGUUCGUGUCGUGAGAUGUUAGGUUAAGUCCUAAAACGAGCGCAACCCUUGUCGUUAAUUGCCAGCACGUAAUGGGUGGGGACUUUAGCGAGACUGCCAAUUAAACAUUGGAGGAAGGUGAGGAUUACGUCAAAUCAUCAUGCCCCUUAUGAUCUGGGCUACAAACGUGAUACAAUGGCUGUGACAAAGAGUAGCUGAAACGCGAGUUUUUUAGCCAAUCUCAAAAAAGCAGUCUCAGUUCGGAUUGAAGUCUGUAACUCGACUUCAUGAAGUUGGAAUCGCUAGUAAUCGCGAAUCAGCAUGUCGCGGUGAAUACGUUCUCGGGGUUUGUACACACCGCCCGUC
rnacentral:rRNA from 1 species